GAGAGAGAGAGUUUGCUGAUGUAGUCUUUUUCCUUUUUGAUAAGAGUGAGUGCCUGGUCUGAUGCCUGAACAGGGGAAGCAUAAGAAGAGAGAGGCAGACUUUCAUCUUCCACGAAGACACAGGGACGUGCUCUGCCUCAUGCAAAUGAGCUGUUCUAAAAGCGUCCCUGUGUCCUGCUGAGCCGCCUGGGCUCCCUUAGCCCUUCUCUCCACAGGACAAAUAAAGCCUGGAAGAGCCUCUUGUCUUCACUGAAGGUCUACCCAUUUGUUCUCUCCUGAAGAAUGUGGCCCAAGCAUGGGGUCUACAAGAGGUGACCAGAGAUUCAAGACUCGAGAAGGGCCAGGGUCCCCUCGAGGCAGAGAUGAGCUUGGAAUCCAGGUCUUCUGAUC
rnacentral:lncRNA from 1 species